GAUGAACGCUGGCGGCGUGCCUAAUACAUGCAAGUCGAGCGAACGGACGAGAAGCUUGCUUUUCUGAUGUUAGCGGCGGACGGGUGAGUAACACGUGGAUAACCUACCUAUAAGACUGGGAUAACUUCGGGAAACCGGAGCUAAUAUCGGAUAAUAUUUUGAACCGCAUGGUUCAAAAGUGAAAGACGGUCUUGCUGUCACUUAUAGAUGGAUCCGCGCUGCAUUAGCUAGUUGGUAAGGUAACGGCUUACCAAGGCAACGAUGCAUAGCCGACCUGAGAGGGUGAUCGGCCCCACUGGAACUGAGACACGGGCCAGACUCCUACGGGAGGCAGCAGUAGGGAAUCUUCCGCAAUGGGCGAAAGCCUGACGGAGCAACGCCGCGUGAGUGAUGAAGGUCUUCGGAUCGUAAAACUCUGUUAUUAGGGAAGAACAUAUGUGUAAGUAACUGUGCACAUCUUGACGGUACCUAAUCAGAAAGCCACGGCUAACUACGUG
rnacentral:rRNA from 1 species